AACCUGGUUGAUCCUGCCAGUAGGCAUAUGCUUGUCUCAAAGGAUUAAGCCAUGCACGUGUCAGUAUGAGCUGAUCAUACGGUGAAACUGCGAAUGGCUCAUUAAAUCAGUUGUAGUUUAUUUGAUGGAGAUUUGCUAUAUGGAUAGCCGUAGUAAUUCUAGAGCUAAUACAUGUGUGGCGCCCCGACUUUUUGGAGGGUGGUAUUUAUUAGUUUUUGUGGCCAGCGCGGGGCAACCCGGGAUUGGUGAAUCAUGAUAACUUUAGGGACCGCGACUGGUGUUGCGGCGGAUCAUUCAAGCUUCUGCCCUAUCAACUCAAGAUGGCAGGGUAUUGGCCUGCCAUGGUCGCUACGGGUAACGGGGAAUUUGGGUUUGAUUCCGGAGAGGGAGCCUGAGAAAUGGCUACCACUUCCAAGGAAGGCAGCAGGCGCGCAAAUUAUCCAAUCCUGACGCAGGGAGGUAGUGACAAUACGUACUAAUGCGGGGCCUUUGGUCUUGCAAUUGGAAUGAGUACAACUCAAACCUGUUAACGAGAACCCAUUGGAGGGCAAGUCUGGUGCCAGCAGCCGCGGUAAUUCCAGCUCCAAUAGCGUAUAUUAAAGUUGUUGCAGUUAGAAAGCUCGUAGUUGGGGGUGGUCGUGUUUAUGGGCCUGUGGGGCGGGGUGCUGGGCAACCGGUGGCCUGCUCUUUGGCGCGGCACGGCAUUGCUGGGGGGGUUGGGGGACUGUGGCAUUCGGUUGCUGCUUUGCUCUUCCCCUGUUUACUGUGAAAAAAUUAGGGUGUUCCAGGCAGGCAUUUUUUGCUCGGAUAGAUUARCAUGGGAUAAUGGAAGAGGACUUUGUGUCUGCUCUGUUGGUCUGGCGGAUGCAUGGGAAUGAUUAAUAGGGACGGUUGGGGGCAUUAGUAUUUAAUUGUCAGAGGUGAAAUUCACGGAUUUAUGAAAGACUGACUUCUGCGAAAGCAUUUGCCAAGGAUGUUUUCAUUGAUCAAGAACGAAAGUUAGGGGAUCGAAGACGAUUAGAUACCGUCGUAGUCUUAACCAUAAACGAUUGGGCCUCGGUGUGAGGCGGGCCUUGGGCUCGGUUCGCAGCGGCAGAGAAAUCGCAAGUGUUUGCUGUCCGGGGGGAGUAUGGUCGCAAGACUGAAACUUAAAGGAAUUGACGGAAGGGCACACAACGAAGUGGAGCCUGCGGCUGGAAAAAGACCCCUGGUCCGACCGAGCGGGAGCGAGGUUGGACCAGGGGUCUUGGAGUGGGGGGGUUGUCUAUAGAGGGGGGACCCUCUUGUUGGAUGGACCCUCCCCGCCGAGUCAGAUUGGCCGCCAGAGUGGGUGUGUACACCUGCUAGUCCAGGGAGGAUGCUAUCUCUACCUACCCCGGCAAGACAACCUGGGACGAGGGAGGGUUGGGGUGACCGACCUGAUCUC
rnacentral:rRNA from 1 species